rnacentral:rRNA from 1 species
AUUGAACGCUGGCGGCAUGCUUUACACAUGCAAGUCGAACGGCAGCGCGGGCUUCGGCCUGGCGGCGAGUGGCGAACGGGUGAGUAAUGCAUCGGAACGUGCCCAGUAGUGGGGGAUAGCCCGGCGAAAGCCGGAUUAAUACCGCAUACGACCUGAGGGUGAAAGCGGGGGACCGAAAGGCCUCUCGCUAUUGGAGCGGCCGAUGUCGGAUUAGCUAGUUGGUGGGGUAAAGGCUUACCAAGGCGACGAUCCGUAGCUGGUUUGAGAGGAUGACCAGCCACCCCGUGUCUGGUACACGGUCCAUACUCCUAAGGGAGGCAGCAGUGGGUGCCUCUGCUCACAGGGGGGUAACCUGUUCCAGUUAUGCCGACCAUGCCGCGAAGCCUUUCGGGUUGUAACCUGCUUCUGUUCGGGACGCAAUGCUUUUGGCUAAGACCUAGGGGAAUUGACGGUACCGGAAGAAUAAGCCCCGGCUAACUACGUG